UGGGGAAUUUUGCACAAUGGGGGAAACCCUGAUGCAGCGACGCCGCGUGAUUUAGAAGGCCUUCGGGUUGUAAAAAUCUUUUCUAAGGGAAGGAAAUGACAGUACCAUAGGAAUAAGGACCGGCCAAUUAAGUGCCAGCAGCCGCGGUAAUUAGUUAGGUCCGAGCGUUGUCCGGAAUCAUUGGGCGUAAAGGGUACGUAGGCGGGUAAGGAAGUUAGAAGUGAAAUCCUAUAGCUCAACUAUAGUAAGCUUUUAAAACUGCUCAUCUUGAGGUAUGGAAGGGAAAGUGGAAUUCCUAGUGUAGCGGUGAAAUGCGCAGAUAUUAGGAGGAAUACCGGUGGCGAAGGCGACUUUCUGGCCAUAACCUGACGCUGAGGUACGAAAGCGUGGGUAGCAAACAGG
rnacentral:rRNA from 1 species